rnacentral:rRNA from 1 species
UUAAAGUCUGUCCUGCCCACUGAAAUUUUUUAAAUGGCCGCAGUAUUCUAACUGUGCAAAGGUAGCAUAAUCAUUAGUCUUUUAAUUGAAGGCUGGAAUGAAUGGUUGGACGAAAUAUUAACUGUUUCAUUUUAAUUUUUUAUAGAAUUUUAUUUUUUAGUCAAAAAGCUAAAAUAUAUUUAAAAGACGAGAAGACCCUAUAAAUCUUUAUAUUUUAUUUAUUUUAAUUUUAAAGAUUAUUUUAAUUUUAAUAAAUUAAAAUAUUUUAUUGGGGUGAUAUUAAAAUUUAAAAAACUUUUAAUUUUAAAAACCAUUAAUUUAUGAGUAAUUGAUCCAUUAAUAAUGAUUAAAAAUUUAAGUUACUUUAGGGAUAACAGCGUAAUUUUUUUGGAGAGUUCAUAUCGAUAAAAAAGAUUGCGACCUCGAUGUUGGAUUAAGAUAUAAUUUUGGGUGUAGCCGUUCAAAUUUUAAGUCUGUUCGACUUUUAAAUUCUUACAUGAUCUGAGUUCAAACCGGCGUAAGCCAGGUUGGUUUCUAUCUUUAAAAAAUUAAAAUAUUUUAGUACGAAAGGACCAAAUAUUUAAAUAAUUAUAUUUUAAAUAAGAAUAUUAUUAAUAUUA